rnacentral:lncRNA from 1 species
CUGAAACGUAAUUCUUUACGCCUGGGGCGGAAAUUUUGUGCCUCAGGCGGAAAACGUUAUUUUUGAUCAGUUUUAUAAAAGGGAAACAUCAGAUCUGGAUCAUUAUCGAAUUUUUGACACUGAGAACAGCAUUUGGAGCGAUUGUGGAGGAUCAAGAGCGACCAAGCAAGGAUUCAAGUGUGGAAACACAUCAAGAUUCUUCUUGUAAUUAUGCUUUCUUUCAUUUUAAUUGAUGUAAUUUCUGAAUUUGCAAUGUCUAGCUAAAUUCUCAUGAUUGGUCCUUAGGUGAUUCUAAUUACUUUUGAUCUUGAACUAUGUGAUUGUCAUAUGAUAUGAGUAAUGAAUUACGAAGUUAGUUUCUAUUGAUUGUUCUUUGUGCUUAAUGC